rnacentral:rRNA from 1 species
GAUGAACGCUGGCGGCGUGCUUAACACAUGCAAGUCGAACGGGAAUUAUUUUAUUGAACCUUCGGUCGAUUUAAUUUAAUUCUAGUGGCGGACGGGUGAGUAACGCGUGGGUAACCUGCCUUAUACAGGGGGAUAACAGUCAGAAAUGGCUGCUAAUACCGCAUAAGCGCACAGAGCUGCAUGGCUCAGUGUGAAAAACUCCGGUGGUAUAAGAUGGACCCGCGUUGGAUUAGCUGGUUGGUGGGGUAACGGCCCACCAAGGCGACGAUCCAUAGCCGGCCUGAGAGGGUGAACGGCCACAUUGGGACUGAGACACGGCCCAGACUCCUACGGGAGGCAGCAGUGGGGAAUAUUGCACAAUGGGGGAAACCCUGAUGCAGCGACGCCGCGUGAAGGAAGAAGUAUCUCGGGAUGUAAACUUCUAUCAGCAGGGAAGAUAGUGACGGUACCUGACUAAGAAGCCCCGGCUAACUACGUG